rnacentral:rRNA from 1 species
GACGGGGGCCCGCACAAGCGGAGGAACAUGUGGUUUAAUUCGAUGAUACGCGAGGAACCUUACCUGGGCUUAAAUGGGGAGUGACAGCUGUCGAAAGAUGGUUUUCUUCGGACACUCUUCAAGGUGCUGCAUGGUUGUCGUCAGCUCGUGCCGUGAGGUGUCGGGUUAAGUCCCAUAACGAGCGCAACCCUUACCGUUAGUUACCAUCAGGUUAAGCUGGGGACUCUAGCGGGACUGCCACCGUAAGGUGAGAGGAAGGUGGGGAUGACGUCAAAUCAGCACGGCCCUUAUGUCCAGGGCUACACAUGUGUUACAAUGGCCAGUACAAAGGGCAGCUACCGGGUGACCGGAUGCUAAUCUCUAAAGCUGGUCUCAGUUCGGAUCGAAGUCUGCAACCCGACUUCGUGAAGCUGGAUUCGCUAGUAAUCGCGCAUCAGCCAUGGCGCGGUGAAUACGUUCCCGGGCCUU